GAUGAACGCUGGCGGCGUGCUUAACACAUGCAAGUCGAACGGACCCUUUGGGGUUAGUGGCGAACGGGUGAGUAACACGUGGGUGAUCUGCCCUGCACUUUGGGAUAAGCCUGGGAAACUGGGUCUAAUACCGGAUAGGACUACGCACUGCAUGGUGUGUGGUGGAAAGCUUUUGCGGUGUGGGAUGGGCCCGCGGCCUAUCAGCUUGUUGGUGGGGUGAUGGCCUACCAAGGCGACGACGGGUAGCCGGCCUGAGAGGGUGACCGGCCACACUGGGACUGAGAUACGGCCCAGACUCCUACGGGAGGCAGCGGUGGGGAAUAUUGCACAAUGGGCGCAAGCCUGAUGCAGCGACGCCGCGUGAGGGAUGACGGCCUUCGGGUUGUAAACCUCUUUCGCCAGGGACGAAGCGCAAGUGACGGUACCUGGAGAAGGAGGACCGGCCAACUACGUGCCAGCCGCCGCAGUAA
rnacentral:rRNA from 1 species